rnacentral:rRNA from 1 species
AUUGAACGCUGGCGGCAGGCCUAACACAUGCAAGUCGAGCGGGGUUUUCGGACCUAGCGGCGGACGGGUGAGUAAUGCGUAGGAAGCUGCCCGAUAGAGGGGGACACCAGUUGGAAACGACUGUUAAUACCGCAUAAUGUCUACGGACCAAAGUGUGGGACCUUCGGGCCACAUGCUAUCGGAUGCGCCUACGUGGGAUUAGCUAGUUGGUGAGGUAAUGGCUCACCAAGGCGACGAUCUCUAGCUGGUUUGAGAGGAUGAUCAGCCACACUGGGACGAAGACACGGUCCAGACUCCUACGGGAGGCAGCAGUGGGGAAUAUUGGACAAUGGGCGCAAGCCUGAUCCAGCCAUGCCGCGUGUGUGAAGAAGGCCUUCGAGUUGUAAAGCACUUUCAGCGAGGAGGAAGGGUGGUGUGUUAAUAGCACAUCAUUUUGACGUUACUCGCAGAAGAAGCACCGGCUAACUCUGUGCCAGCCGCCGCGGUAAAAC